UCUAUCCGCUUUGGUAGAGCUAAUAAAAUUUCAAAUUGUGAACAUAUGUUUUCUGUGGUGCAUGUGUAGAAAUUGGAAGAGUCAUUGGAGACAUGUUGUAUUUCCUCAGAGGAAGCGGAGGUGUUGGUGUGCCUUCUUAGCUGUGCGUCAAUGUGGUUGA